rnacentral:rRNA from 1 species
GGGGGAUAUUGCACAAUGGACGGAAGUCAGAUGCAGCGACGCCGCGUGGGGGAUGAAGGCUUUCGGGUUGUAAACCUCUUUUAUUCCUGAACAAGGCUUGGAUUGUUGUCUGGGUUGAGGGGAGGGGGUGAAGGAGCCCCGGACAACCACGGUCCAGCAGCCGCGGUAAUACGUAGGGCGCGAGCGUUGUCCGGAUUUAUUGGGCGUAAAGAGCUCGUAGGCGGUUUGUUGCGUCUGCUGUGAAAACGCGGGGCUUAACUUCGCGCGUCCGUGGGUACGGGCAGGCUAGAGUGCGGUAGGGGAGAUUGGAAUUCCUGGUGUAGCGGUGGAAUGCGCAGAUAUCAGGAGGAACACCGAUGGCGAAGGCAGGUCUCUGGGCUGUUACUGACGCUGAGGAGCGAAAGCGUGGGGAGCGAACA